rnacentral:lncRNA from 1 species
CCCGUUUGGGUUAAUACUCUGAUGCACGUUAUUUAUUGAUUAAUUGAUUAUUGGGAGCGGGGUGUUACACACUCCAAUCGAUUGUGAAUCUCAUCGCCAUCAAGAAGGGAUCCUCUAACCAAGAAGGGAAAAAGAAUGGAAAACAUCCCUGAGCAACUUCAUUCCCAAGAUUACUAGUGGUUCGUGGAGGGUGCAUAUAAAUGCAUUUCUUGGCAAUAGUUGUAGUCAGGCUAACCAUAACAUAAUGAUGCGUAAAGCUAUGAAUGGAACAUUUUAAAGGCUCUAAACAUUAGGUAGGCUGGAUAAAGGACAUGAUUCCUUGGCGGCGAGUUCCAUGCUAGAUUUUCCAUUGAGCAUGGAAGAUGUAAAGAAAGGUUUUCACAUAGGCCUUAAUUUCGUAACAUUGGCAUACCAUUACAAAGGCAUUCAUGUAUCUCGAACACAAAGUACGCAAUUGAUAUAGGGCCACCUUUAGACGGUUCAGAACGCUUGUCUCAAAAGACAAAAAAGGGAGUAUAGCCCCAAUCCGGAAAAGGACAAACUCACACAUAACAAAGGAACAAUGUUGUGGACUACAGACGCGGUCCCUGUACGAAGGAGCCUCCACGACCUAAGCAUCCAGAAGUUUCAAGAUCACAUCCGACAGGUACCAAAGAAAGCCUCUGGGAUCCCUGAAAAUUGAAGGUUGCCCAAAGAUUUCUUCACUCAUAAAAGGAAAUUAGCUUUGAAACCUAGUAGGGAUAAUGAGCUCGCCUCUAGGGUAACUCAUCUUCCUAUUAAUAUCCUCAGAACUGACCAAAAAAAAUGAGGCCAAGAUUAGACCAGUACAGAGAGCGAAACCACCAACAUCAAAACUGGGUUGGCGAUGAAGAACAUCGUUGCCACCAAGAAGUACGAAGAACUCACCCAUAAUUUCUGAAAGUCUCUUAAGUAGUUUUAGGAAACCGGUUGAAACCGCAUAAGAUCCAUCAGAUGCCAACACAAGAAACUUAAAAGGGGACAAUGAUACAGUUCCAAUCCCACAACAAAUAGUUUCUCAAAGAAAUGGGACCAAACUAUCUGACCCUUUUCUUAGGGAAACCCAACAAAUGAAAACAGAUCAGACAAAAAUUCAUAAGUCACUGACAUGUGGCAUUAAGAAGAUGUCUCCCGGCCAAAAGCUCGAGACCAAUAGUGCAAGAAGAUGCCUCCCGGCCAAAAGCUCGAGACCAAUAGUGCAAUGUGAAUUUUAUCCAUAGAUGGAGCUAAUAAAUGUUAAGAACCAGAUGACAAAAGAGCACGUAACCCUUGGGCAGGUCUGAGGCAAGCCAACUGAUAGAAGCUGGACCAAGGAUCCUAUUCUACAACACACAUUGAUACCAGGGAGGCUACGACAUCUCCUAAUCGAUCAUCAUCACCAAACCCUUACAUCUGUUUUGUCUCUCAAGAGACAUCCACAUCGUAAAUUGCUUACAUUUUCAUACCCUUCCCCAUUAUUAUUUUACUGGCCUUAAAAAAAUUUGUCAUAAAAUAAACAUAUCAUAAGAAUUGAAGAUUAUUUAUAUAACCUUUCACCAACACGUUGAAUUCGUGUUGUUUUCAAUGUACUCCAAUUAUAAUUUGACUGAAUAUCUUUUUUGUUUAAGAAGAGAGUAAGAUAACGAUUAAUUUUCAACUUAACUAUAACAAUUAUUAUUAUAGCUAAUAGUGGGGAUGGAAAACUUGUUUGAUAUGCCUAAAUUGCAUGCUACUUUGAUACCUCAAAAUUUACAAGAUAAGGAGACACUCUAAACAAAACUAUUUGCUGCGUUAUUUCAUUUCAUUGCAACCAUUUUAGAGUACAACAUCAUAAUUUCAAAGUCCAUGCGAAAUUACAAAGGAAAAAAGAUGAAGAAGAAAAAUACAAUUAUUCGGUAUAUGCAUAAAAACUAAAUGACAUCUCGUGGAACAUUCUAACAUAAUAAGCAUAUUAUAAAAUUUCUACACAUUGGCCUUUACGACACCUAAUAUUAUGUGGUGGCUUUUUUGGACAAUCUUUAUCCGUUUUACAAGGUUUAUUAACAAUGCCGGGAAUAUAACCAUAUACUGUUAUGGAAAGAAAUAUGGAAAUAAAUAGAAUAAGAACAUAAACAUAGUUUAGAGUUUUGGCCAUAUUUUUUCUGUUUGCAUCUAAAACAUAUGAUAUCAUUUUAUCUAUUUAUAGUGUAUAAAGUUCAUGCUCCUAUAAAAUUAAUUAAAUAAAUUAAGCAUUUAUGAAAUUCUAAAAACCUUUCAUAAAAUUAUAAUAUUUACUAAAUGCCAGUUGAGCAUAUCAGUAUGUUAUGUUUGUGCCUUAGGCGCAUUUAGAAAGGUGGCCAUAUAAUAAACUUGAUAAUUAUUAGAGUUGAAUAUUAUUUAAUUAACUUUUCACUACAUUAAGUCAUUGUAUUAUUAACCUUUCGUUAUAAUAAAGGGUAAUUUUUAUUUUUUAUACCAUGGUGUUGAGGAAAAUCACAAAAUCCUUCUGAUGUUGAUGUUUUAAUGAUAAGAAUUAUUUGAACGUAAAGAUCGAAAUGAUUAUGAUAUGAUAUGUGUUAUGUUUUAUCACUUAGGUUUACACGAGGGUGUUGGCUUGGGAUCUUGGAGCAUGCUUCUAUCAAAGUCUAAGAGUACAAUUCUCCUCGACGUGGAAUUCAGUGGGCUAGUUU